rnacentral:rRNA from 1 species
AUUGAACGCUGGCGGCAUGCUUUUCACAUGCAAGUCGAACGGCAGCGCGGGCUUCGGCCUGGCGGCGAGUGGCGAACGGGUGAGUAAUGCAUCGGAACGUGCCCAGUAGUGGGGGAUAGCCCGGCGAAAGCCGGAUUAAUACCGCAUACGACCUGAGGGUGAAAGCGGGGGACCGAAAGGCCUCGCGCUAUUGGAGCGGCCGAUGUCGGACUAGCUAGUUGGUGGGGUAAAGGCUUACCAAGGCGACGAUCCGUAGCUGGUCUGAGAGGACGACCAGCCACACUGGGACUGAGACACGGCCCAGACUCCUACGGGAGGCAGCAGUGGGGAAUUUUGGACAAUGGGGGCAACCCUGAUCCAGCCAUGCCGCGUGCGGGAAGAAGGCCUUCGGGUUGUAAACCGCUUUUGUUCGGGAAGAAAUCCUCUGGGCUAAUACCCCGGGGGGAUGACGGUACCGGAAGAAUAAGCACCGGCUAACUACGUG